UCCUCUUAUAAAAUAGCCAUGUAACCCUAAAGUUGCCUGCUAAUCGCGAUUGCAUUGUUGCCGCUUUAUUCCGAUCGCGAUUGGCUGUCUCGCGCUUGACUCGCUUCGUGUGCGAGAGUCGUGGUUUGACAGUUUAGUCGAGAGUAGCUGUCAUUGAAUUUUGACAGCUAUCAUGUGAAUAUACAUAUUGAUGUGCACGUAACAAAUCGGUUAUGUGCAUAUUAUUGCACAUUUCUUUUAAAAGAGAUUAGUGAGAGAGGGAGAGGGAAGAAAUAAAAAAACUUUCAGUCAGCGUCUUCUCUACAUAUUUGACAGAGCAUGAAUUUUUUUUGGAAAGAAAGAAGGAAAGAAAAGAGGUGAGAGAGAGAGAUGAGGAGAAAGAAGAAAUAAGAAGAAAAACAUCAGGUAAUAUAGUAAAAUAAAGAAUAACAUUAAAAUUUAAUAUAACUUAUAAUUACAUCAGGUAAUAGUAAAAUAAAGAAUAACAUUAAAAUUUAAUAUAACUUAUUAUUUAAAAUAUAUUUUAACAGUUCGCGUGUUUUACGUAUCUGACAGAACAUACAUUUUAUUAGAAAUAGAAAAGGAAAGGAAACAUAUUACAGACAAAGAAAGAGAGAGAGAGAGAGAGAGAGAGAGAGAGAGAGAGAGAGAGAGAGAGAAAGAGUAAGGGAGAAUUAAAUAACUUAGAAAAUGAAACAGCGAUUUUGUGAAGAAACAGCGAUAUUGAAAAGAAGGAACAGAAAGAGUUAAAAAAAAACAAAAAAAAAGAACAAAGAAAUAAGAGAAAAAUCA